CCGAGUUUACAACUCCCAAACCCCUGUGAACAUACCACUUGUUGCCUCGGCGGAUCAGCCCGCUCCCGGUAAAAACGGGACGGCCCGCCAGAGGACCCCUAAACUCUGUUUCUAUAUGUAACUUCUGAGUAAAAACCAUAAAUAAAUCA
rnacentral:misc_RNA from 1 species